GUCUAGUUCACAAUUGUAAAACUUAUAUGAAUUGUAUUUACAGUUGUAUAGUAUCCCCAUGUGUUUCCAUUGUUCUUUUAUUGUUCUGGGUCUAAUGGACUAGGUCUUUAAAGGCAGAAUCCUCUGUAAUAAUCCUAUGUACUGAAUGCUCAGUAUAGGGUCUAGAACGUAGCAGGUUGUUGUGACACGUCAGUUAACUUACUUUCUCCUAGUGGCUAUUUUUGGUGAUGAAUGUAGAGACUAAAUUAGAAGAAGAUCCCUCUUUAUUUGACAUUGAAUUCACUCAUUCUUACCACAAAUAUUUUUGAGUGCCUACCAUGUAUCACGUACUACAAAACCCAGUUCUUAGGAAAUUUAGUCUAGUUGAGUAACUAUUCAUACCAGAUUAAAAAGCUAGUAUUUAUCUGAAUCUGGAGGGAAGCCCAAAGAAGCUAACCCUAAUCUAAUACAGUUCAGGAUUUCUAUGAAGUGGAAAAGCUAAAACAACAACUAAUAACUUAAGAAAACUGAGGUCUUCAAGAUUAGGAAACUAACUCCUUGAAAAGAAAAUCCAUGGACGGGAAAUGGAAAAUAGAUUCAGGAAAGCCAGUGUUUUGGGAAAUGCCAUUAUCUUCAUGCCAUUUCCCAUAGUCCAAAAAUAUGUUCCUGAUGAAUCUCUAACUCACUGUAUACCAUAAGAUGAUGUUGCAAGAUGCAGGCCCCACACCCUCCAAAAUGCUGUUCUUACUUACUCCUUAAUUUAACUGUGAUUACUAUGGGGAAUUAAAUACUUAUGACUGCAAGGACUGUCAACAACAGUGAACUUGCACCUCAUUCAAUCAUUAGUAUUUGGUAAUGUCCUAGAAACCUCUCAGCUAUAGAUAGUCCGACUCAUGGUAAGACGCACAGAUCUGGGCCAUAGGUAGAAUGAGUGCUUGACCCCGGUAUAUAUUAAGUUAGAAAAAUCAAAGUAAUAUGUGCACAUGCCUUCCCUAGAUUAGGACAUAUAUUUGCAAUUUGAACUUUCAUUAUUUUCCUGAAGGAUGGAAUAAUCUUAUUAUUUUCCUCUACUCAUGUUGUAUUUUCAAAUCAAAAUAAACUCAUUUCUGUUAGCCAGGAGAAUAAGGACAUACUGUGUAGAGCAAUCAUUACCCUGCUCUUGCUUUUCAAAUAUUUGAACUACUUUAAAAUGGUAUGAAUUUACUUCCGUCAAGAGACUAGAGUAGUAACACAAUUUAGUGUUAGUGGGGAAGAUUCACUCCAUUUGCACAGAUUGCUAGUACACUUCUAAAUCCUGUAUAUGGAGUUGGCUCAUUGUUUUGUUAAUAUAAAAAUCUGUAAACACCUGUUAAUUAUACCAGUAAAACUAUCUAUGGAACUACAAAGACCAGUGAGCAUUCUUCUGGAUUUUUUGAUGCCCUUUAGUAGCAGUUCAUAAUGGCUUUAAAUGUUGUUAUGAAUUAUUAAAUACACUUUAUAAAAAUAUGGAAAUAAAGGUGUUUACCUUUUAACUUAGCAAUUUUUUUGGUAAAAAUUUACAUUAAGAAAAUAGUUGUGGGGGGUAAUGUGGUGAUAAGGACACAUAUGUAAUAACUUAAUUAGUA